GCCGCGUCGGCAUCCAGGGCAGGGAGCCGCCGGCCCCGGCUCCGGACGGGGAGGCGCUGGCCCGGCCCGGCCCGGCCCGGCUCCGCUCGGGAAUGCCCCGGCAGGAAGGUGCCAGGGGUACCCGCAGCUCCGGGACUGUCGGGAACUCGCAGCUUGGCUCCCGCCCAUCGCGCUCGUCCCGCAGGGAAAAUCCCCGGCUCCGGAUCGGUAGCAGGGGUGAAACCUCCCAGAACGGGUCCCAAGGGCGCUGUGAAGGCUCUCGGUGCUGCAGCUUUUCUAUUCCAUUGGCAGAGAUUAUUUUACCUAGCCUUCAGGCGCGAUCAGAACUAAUGAACUCCCCGAGUUAAAGCUGCCCACGAUGCCCGUGCAGCCCUUGUCUGAGCAAGGGAAUCUUCUGAUUUCCCACUCUGAUCCAUGGGAAUUUAACACCCCUUCCCACUGGCACUGGAGAAUCCACAAAGCCGGCUCGCUUCCCUUUUGCUCCCUUGGUGCUUCAGGAUUACCAGGAAAAAGAAAUAAAGGCCCUUUAAAAAAUUGCACCAAAGAGGACUUGGCUGUUGGAGAGUUCCAGGGUUUCUCCUGCAAGGCAGUUUCUCUGAUUAGUUUUUCUCUGUCUUUAGAACAGAGAGUUGUGUUUAAGAGUAUUCCUCGUGGAGAAACAAACUGCGCUUUAGGAAACCUGGACUGUUCCUUUGCUGCUGUGUAG
rnacentral:lncRNA from 1 species